GGUGUUGUUAACAUAUAAUCAACUGUGCUUUGGCCAUUAGAAUUAUAAAAAGUGAAAAAUCCUAAGGAAUCGCCUAGAAAUCUCCCAUUAAGAAGUCUCAACUGCAAAUCUUUACAAAGGGACACAAGAAGAGUGCCAUGUAUGUUUUUUUUUCUCUAUCCAUUUGACGUCUUACUAAGGGAAUAUCAGGGGAGUAAUUAAUAGGGACAGCACAAUCAAUGAAAUUUUCAUGUCCAUCAUCAUUUUGAAUGUAGUCCUGCAGUCCUCCUGUUCGGGCAUUAAAGUCACCACAGAUUAGAAUUUUUCCCUGAUGUUUAAACUGCAUGAUUUCAUUUUGAAGAUGUGUAAAUAUCAAUUCUGAAUCAUCUUUAUUCAUAUAUGGUUUUAUAUAACAAAAACACAAAUAAACUGUCAUAAGAUAGUCCAAGUAUUUGCUUACAAUCAAUAUAAACUGAAGCUCGUCCUCAAUCACAUCCAAAAUGUAAUUACAAAGUCUUGGAGUAGAUUUCUAAAUUCCAAUUUACCCGAAGAGUUGAACCUGCGUUCAUAACAGCCAGUUUCAAUUCUUAAUUUAUGAUUACUCAAUUUU
rnacentral:lncRNA from 1 species